AGAGUUUUGAUCCUGGCUCAGGACGAACGCUGGCGGCGUGCCUAAUACAUGCAAGUCGAACGAGGUUUGGUCAGUUUGCGGUGGUGCUUGCAUCACCAAUUACCGAUCAAACCGAGUGGCGGACGGGUGAGUAACACGUGGGUAACCUGCCCUUCAGCAGGGGAUAACAUUUGGAAACAGAUGCUAAUACCGUAUAACCACGGAGACCGCAUGGUCUCCGGGUAAAAGAUGGCGCAAGCUAUCACUGAAGGAUGGACCCGCGGCGUAUUAGCCAGUUGGUGGGGUAACGGCCUACCAAAGCGAUGAUACGUAGCCGACCUGAGAGGGUAAUCGGCCACAUUGGGACUGAGACACGGCCCAAACUCCUACGGGAGGCAGCAGUAGGGAAUCUUCCACAAUGGACGCAAGUCUGAUGGAGCAACGCCGCGUGAGUGAAGAAGGCUUUCGGGUCGUAAAACUCUGUUAUUGAAGAAGAACGUGUGUGACAGUAACUGGUCAUGCAGUGACGGUAUUCAAUCAGAAAGUCACGGCUAACUACGUGCCAGCAGCCGCGGUAAUACGUAGGUGGCAAGCGUUGUCCGGAUUUAUUGGGCGUAAAGCGAGUGCAGGCGGUCUUUUAAGUCUGAUGUGAAAGCCUUCGGCUUAACCGAAGAAGGGCAUCGGAAACUGGGAGACUUGAGUGCAGAAGAGGAGAGUGGAACUCCAUGUGCUAUG
rnacentral:rRNA from 1 species